UGGGCAAUGGCGGGCGCCCCUCCCCCAGCCUAGCUGCCGCUUGCAGUUUGAUCUCAGACUGCUGUGCUAGCAAUCAGCGAGACUCCGUGGGUGUAGGACCCUCCGAGCCAGGUGUAGGAUAUAAUCUCGUGGUGCGCCGUUUUUUAAGCCCAUCAGAAAAGCGCAGUAUUCGGGUGGGAGUGACCCGACUUUCCAGGUGCCGUCCAUCACCCCUUUCUUUGACUCGGAAAGGGAACUCCCUGACCCCUUGCGCUUCCCGAGUGAGGCAAUGCCUCGCCCUGCUUCGACUCGCGCAUGGUGCGCGCACGCACUGACCUGCGCCCACUGUCUGGCACUCCCUAGUGAGAUGAACCCGGUACCUCAGAUGGAAAUGCAGAAAUCACCAGUCUUCUGCGUCGCUCACGCUGGGAGCUGUAGACCGGAGCUGUUCCUAUUCGGCCAUCUUGUCUCCUCCCGUGGGCUUUUGGCUCAAUUCUGAAUAAACAGUGAACAUCCAUGUGGGAGCAAUGAGGAGGAACUGUAGCAUCUGACUGAAAACAGGUGACAACUGGCAGUUUCCUUGGACUUAGUGAUGGAAAUGAAUGUUGAUGUU
rnacentral:lncRNA from 10 species